ACUCUCUGUUAUCUUAACUGCAAAAAUGGAUGCGUGAAUGUUUGCACUAAGUUCGCUUCCUACAAAAUGUAAAAUACAGUUCAGAUAUGUCGUCUAGGACACCUGUGGCCCAUCUGCUUUACUUCACUGCCUUUCAGAAAACACACACCACACUCGAUGCUUGGUGUGCAAGAUUUCCAUCCUCCGCAGCUGGGGCUCAUCAGAGUUGAUGCUAGACCUGCAUUGAUCUUGCAUGCUGUGUGGGAAGUUGGUUUGGUAGGAACAGCAUUCAGCUUGUAAAAGAGGAAGAGGGAUGGAAAAUAAAGUCCGUUUACAGUUUGGAGUAUUUUAGAGUUCUGGGCUGGGACUGGAAGGCCCCUGCUAGCUGCUGUGCAAACUCAGAACCACUGUUAGUCCCAACCCAGAAG